GACGAACGCUGGCGGCGUGCCUAAUACAUGCAAGUCGAGCGAAUCUUUGGGAGCUUGCUCCCAAAGAUUAGCGGCGGACGGGUGAGUAACACGUGGGCAACCUGCCUGUAAGACUGGGAUAACUUCGGGAAACCGGAGCUAAUACCGGAUAACUCUUAAGAUCACAUGGUCUUAAGAUAAAAGAUGGCUUCGGCUAUCACUUACAGAUUGGCCCGGGGCGCAUUAGCUAGUUGGUGAGGUAACGGCUCACCAAGGCGACGAUGCGUAGCCGACCUGAGAGGGUGAUCGGCCACACUGGGACUGAGACACGGCCCAGACUCCUACGGGAGGCAGCAGUAGGGAAUCUUCCGCAAUGGACGAAAGUCUGACGGAGCAACGCCGCGUGAGCGAUGAAGGCCUUCGGGUCGUAAAGCUCUGUUGUUAGGGAAGAACAAGUAUCGUUCGAAUAGGGCGGUACCUUGACGGUACCUAACCAGAAAGCCACGGCUAACUACGUGCCAGCCGCCGCCGUAAGAC
rnacentral:rRNA from 1 species